GGCCGCUGCCUGCCUCCGGGCUCGGCGGCGCCCCCACGCCCCGCCCUCCCCGGCCCGCCCCCGGCUCCAUCUUGCCGGCGACCGGGUUGGUCUGUGACGCCGCUUCCGCGGGACAGAAUGUCAUACCCAGGCUAUCCCCCGACAGGCUAUCCACCUUUCCCUGGAUAUCCUGCUACAGGUCAAGAGUCAUCUUUUCCCCCUGUGGGUCAGUAUCCUUAUCCUAGUGGCUUUCCUCCAAUGGGAGGAGGUGCCUACCCAUCAGCACCAAGUAGUGGCUAUCCAGGGGCUGGAGGCUACUCUACCCCUGCAGGUUAUCCAGCCCCUGGAGGCUAUCUUGGUGCCCCACAGCCAGGAGGAGCACCAUCCUAUCCCGGAGGCCAAGGAUUUGGAGCCCCACCAGGUGGAGCAGGUUUUUCUGGCUAUCCACAGCCACCCUCACAGUCUUAUGGUGGUGGUCCAGGACAGGUCCCACUACCUGGUGGCUUUCCUGGAGGACAGAUGCCUUCUCAGUAUCCUGGAGGACAAGCUCCUUACCCUAGUCAGAUCAAUACAGAAUCCUUUCCUUCCUAUCCUGUUUUCUCCCCUGUUUCUUUGGAUUAUAGCAAUGAACCUGCUGCAAUGACUCAGGGAGCCCAAGGAACAAUCCGACCAGCUGCCAACUUUGAUGCCAUGAGAGAUGCAGAAAUUCUUCGUAAAGCAAUGAAGGGUUUUGGAACAGACGAGCAGGCAAUUAUGGAUGUUGUGGCCACCCAUUCCAACGAUCAAAGGCAAAAAAUUAAAGCAGCUUUUAAGACCAUGUAUGGGAAGGAUUUAAUCAAAGAUCUCAAAUCAGAGUUAAGUGGGAAUAUGGAGGAACUGAUCCUUGCCCUAUUCAUGCCACCUACGUAUUAUGAUGCCUGGAGUUUAUGGAAUGCAAUGAAGGGAGUAGGAACUCAGGAACGUGUACUGAUUGAAAUUUUGUGCACAAGAACAAAUCAGGAAAUCCGAGAAAUUGUCAGAUGUUAUAAAUCAGAAUUUGGACAAGACCUUGAAAAGGACAUUAGGUCUGAUACAUCAGGGCAUUUUGAACGUUUGCUUGUAUCCAUGUGCCAGGGAAAUCGUGAUGAAAACCAGAAUGUUAACCACCAGUUGGCUCAGGAAGAUGCUCAGCGUCUCUAUCAAGCUGGUGAGGGGAGACUAGGGACAGAUGAAUCUUGCUUUAACAUGAUUCUUGCUACAAGAAGCUUUCCUCAGCUGAAAGCUACCAUGGAAGCUUAUUCCAGGAUGGCUAAUCGAGAUUUGUUAAGCAGUGUUGGCCGUGAGUUUUCCGGAAAUGUUGAGAGUGGUUUGAAGACCAUCUUGUGCCCUGAAUCGCCCUGCCUUCUUUGCUGAGAGGCUCUACUAUUCUAUGAAAGGUGCUGGCACAGAUGACUCCACCCUGGUCAGGAUUGUGGUCACUCGAAGUGAGAUUGACCUUGUACAAAUUAAACAGAUGUUCAGUCAGAUGUAUCAGAAGACCCUGGGCACAAUGAUUGCAAGUGACACAAGUGGGGAUUACCGAAGACUUCUUCUGGCCAUUGUGGGCCAAUAGAGAUUUUUUAAAUGAAUGAAGCUAUACAAAGCUUUUCCUGCAAUGAUUGACCUGCAUGCAGCAAUAUCAACCAACACCUAACCAAAAGAGUUUUUUAUAAGGACUGUGUCAGGGUGUGUGCUUCGUUUGCACAUGUGGUUGUAGCCUUAAUUCCAAUGUUAUUUUUUCUCUGUAUACUAUCAGUGUAAAGCCAUAUCACAAUGAUGCAGUAAUAAUGCAAUGUUUGUAAAGCAUAGUUCUCACUGUUCUUAUUCUAAUCAGGAUACCAAAUUGAAUAAAAAUCAGAACAACCUCUAA